UUCAUUGAAAGAUGAAGGCCCGAAACCCACACGUUUCACCUGAGAUGCGGAGAGGCUACCAUUACUCUCCAAGAUGUGUCAGUUUUACUAGGUCUGCGUAGUGACGGAGCACCAUUAAUUGGUUCAACUAAUCUUGUUUGGGCCGACUUGUGUGAAGAAUUAUUAGGAGUCAGACCACAGGAAGGGGAAAUUGAAGGCAGUGUCGUCAAAUUAAGUUGGUUGGCUCACCAUUUUUCUCACAUAAAUAUUGAUGAGGGUAACGUUGAGCAAUUACAAAGGUUUACCCGUGCGUGGAUCCUUCGAUUCAUAGGAGGUGUCCUCUUUGUUAACAAAAGUAGUAGCAGAGUUUCCUUAAGGUACCUACAAUUUCUACGUGACUUUGAACAAUGCAGCACGUAUGCGUGGGGACCUACCGUGCUUGCGUAUUUAUAUAGAGAGAUGUGCAGCGCCACCGAUUACAAAGUUAAAUCAAUCGGAGGUAUGUGCAUCUUAAUCCAAAUGUGGGCAUGAGAACGAUGCACGACCUUAGCUCCAAAGAGGACGCCUCCCGUCAUAGAAAAUAAACCACUCGGACACAGGUGGUUGCGACGUGGAAAUCAGCAUAUUGGCAAUGAUGAUCUUAGACUUUUCCGUCGCAAACUGGAUUUGAUGAAACGACAUGAGUUUGUCUGGGAGCCAUACACAGCAACUGUGAUGGCAGCGUUGCCUCCAAUUUGUGUGGUUGGAGGAGUAGCCUGGUUUGCGGUGGUGCCACUGAUUUGUUUCCAUGUUGUUGAGUGGCACCAACCCGAUAGAGUUUUACGACAAUUUGGAUUGCAACAACCCAUUCCCGGGUGUCCUUCGCAACCGCAAAAUCUCCAUGGCAUAACGCUCAAAGGCAAACAAGAUGAGAAUUGGUUCCACCUGUUGGCCCCAAUCAUUGGUCAGUGGAACAAUCGAGCAGAGUUUAGGGUCGACGUUUAUCCUCGACAGGAGGGCCUACUGGGUUAUAACUCGGACUACAUGGUGUGGUAUAGGCGUAAAACA